rnacentral:rRNA from 1 species
AGUGGCGAACGGGUGCGUAAUACGUGAGAAUCUGCCCUUAGGAGAAGAAUAACUGCUGGAAACGGCUGCUAAAUCUUCAUAUGUCGAGAGAUGAGAUAGCUUAGGCUGCCUAAGGAUGAGCUCACGCCUGAUUAGCUAGUUGGUGAGGUAAUGGCUCACCAAGGCCACGAUCAGUAGCUGGUUUGAGAGAACGAUCAGCCACACUGGGACUGAGACACGGCCCAGACUCCUCCGGGAGGCAGCAGUGAGGAAUUUUCCGCAAUGGGCGAAAGCCUGACGGAGCAAUACCGCGUGAGGGAUGAAGGAUUUUGGUCUGUAAACCUCUUUUCUCAAGAAAGAAGUUCUGACGGUACUUGAGGAAUAAGCAUCGGCUAACUCCGUGCCAGCAGCCGCGGUAAUACGGGGGAUGCAAGCGUUAUCCGGAAUCAUUGGGCGUAAAGCGCCUGUAGGUUGUUUAAUAAGUCUGUUGUUAAAGACUAGGGCUUAACCCUAGAAAAGCAAUGGAAACUACUAGACUAGAGUAUGGCAGGGGUAGAGGGAAUUUCUAGUGUAGCGGUGAAAUGCGUAGAUAUUAGAAAGAACACCGGUGGCGAAAGCGCUCUACUGGACCAUUACUGACACUCAGAGGCGAAAGCUAGGGUAGCAAAAGG